AUACGGAGGGUGCAAGCGUUACUCGGAAUCACUGGGCGUAAAGCGCGCGCAGGCGGGCUGAUAAGUUGGAUGUGAAAGCCUACGGCUCAACCGUAGAACUGCAUCCAAAACUGUCAGUCUAGAGUCUGUGAGGGGAAGAUGGAAUUAGUUGUGUAGGGGUAAAAUCCGUAGAGAUAACUAGGAAUACCAAAAGCGAAGGCGAUCUUCUGGAACAGUACUGACGCUGAGGCGCGAAAGCGUGGGGAGCAAACAGAAUUAGAAACCCUAGUAGUCC
rnacentral:rRNA from 1 species